AACGAACGCUGGCGGCAUGCCUAACACAUGCAAGUCGAACGGGAUCCUAGCUUGCUAGGUGAGAGUGGCGGACGGGUGAGUAACACGUGGGAAUCUGCCUUUUGGUUCGGGAUAACCGCGGGAAACUGCGGCUAAUACCGAAUGCCCUCGAGAGAGGAAAGAUUUAUCGCCAGAAGAGGAGCCCGCGUCCGAUUAGGUAGUUGGUGGGGUAAAAGGCCUACCAAGCCGACGAUCGGUAGCUGGUCUGAGAGGAUGAUCAGCCACACUGGGACUGAGAUACGGCCCAGACUCCUACGGGAGGCAAGCAGUGGGGAAUAUUGGACAAAUGGGGGCAACCCUGAUCCAGCAAUGCCGCGU
rnacentral:rRNA from 1 species